rnacentral:lncRNA from 13 species
UGGCCCAUAUCCAAGGGGGGGCAGUGAGCUCACGGAGCAGGAAAAUGUUCUGCUGACACCCUCUUGGAGGGUCUCAGACCCAUGUUCCUGGGGUCCACCGACCCCCGCCACACCUCAUCAGACUGAGUCUCCAGCCCGAUGGGACCCGACCUCCGCCCACGCCUUCCAAGCCGUCCGGGUUGCAAUGGUGAGGGCAGUCUCGAGUGCCCAGCUCACGAUCUGAAUCGCCCUCCUCCUCCGGCCGAUCAGAUCAGGAAAGCCGUGUCAAAGAGGUACGGAGGUCAGAACUGUCCGGCUCCUGCGCUGCUUGUGGCACGCAGCCUCCUUCCCUGGGACUGCCCCGGGCACCGCCUCCAGCAUUGUCCUGUGCGGCUGCCGCCGGGGAGCACGGACACUGCGGCCGGCCAUCCGGGAGCGCCACUGCGCGUGCGCAGGCGGGGCGUCACAAGCGCGAGCGCUGAGCCGGGCUCGCGUCACAGUGACGGUCACCGUGUCCUGGGGAACAGUCUGAGCAACUUGAGAAAGCAGGGGCCCACGGCGGGAGUGCCUCACCGUUGGGCGACGGCUCCCCCCUCACGGCGAUCGUCGCCACGGUCCCGCGAUUUCCGGAGUGCGGCUUGGCAGAACCAGGCGGAGAAAACGUCCAGCGGAGCUUCAGGGAUGCCCAGGGCGAUGGAUCCCCAAGAACCCCCUAGAUGCUUCAGGCUUCCCCAGGCACUGUUGGCGUGUGUCUUCUUGAAAGCUCUCCCUACCGGGAAUUGCAGACACAGCCCAUUGUUCAGGUUCUGAAUCUCACACUUGGAGGCAGCUAAAAGUUGGAAUUGUGAGUCUCAUUCAUGGAUCAGCUUCACAGAUGAGAUAAUGACUCUCGGACCAAGAUUCAUCACACCUCUGAGGCUGUGACUCUACUACUAGGACACAAUCUGAAGCUUGAAUUAAGGUCCCCAGGCACUAAUCUAAUCCAAUAUCUAGAUUCUGACUCACAUAAAUGAACUGAUCACACAGGAGGUGCUGACUGUCAUCCUUAGAGCCGGAUGUGUUUGGGAUUGUUUAUCUCAUCCGUGGACUUUUGUGGAAGUGUGAUUGUGACAUAUGCUGUUGCCCAUAUCCUGAGUGAUUUUUGUUUUCUGACUGGGCCCAGCCCACAGAUAAAAUUGUGACAUAUACCAAGGCCAAGCACCAAGGUAAUAUGACAGUCCUCAUCGGCCUGAACCUGUCACUUAGAAGUGAUUGUUACAUAUUUCUGAAUACAACACCUGGUGAUGUGACUCUCCUCUUGUGUCAAGGCUUUGAGCACAAAGAUUGUGACAUAUCGCUGGGCCCAGCACCUAGAUAAUGUGCUUGUUCUGCCUUAAUUCUCCCCACAGGGAACAUAAUGACAUAUUAUUUAGUCAAUCACCUGGGUGAAGUGAGUGUUCUUUUUGUCCUGGGCCUCGGCCUCAGAAGAACAUAUGACAUACUGCUGGUCCUAGGUGAUUUGGGUCUUCUCUGCUCCCUGAUCUUUGCCAGUAGUGGGGAUUGUGAACUACUGCUUAACCCAGCACCUAAUUUUUCUGACUUACUUCUUUCGCUAAAUCCCCAAAACAGUGGGAAUUGCAAUAUAUUGUGGGGAGCAGCAACUAGGUGAUGUGACUCUCCUCUGUUGCCUGGGCUCUGCCCACAUUGGGCAUUGUUACAUAGUGCUGAGUAUCACCUAAGCACAUAUUACAUUACCUAAGUAAUGUUAUGGUUCUCCUCUGCUUGGGACCUGUCG